GCAGUGGUGGUUCGGUGGUAGAAUUCUUGCCUCCCAUGCAGGAGACCUGGGUUCUAUUUCCGGCCAAUGUA
rnacentral:tRNA from 1 species